rnacentral:lncRNA from 1 species
UGAGGUGGAACGACCGGAAUCGUCGACUCAACCUCUCUGUCAGGAGAGGGAAUCGGUGACUCAACGGUGUUCAACACCACAUCCAGGUUAUCCACAUCCAUCAUGUCGGCUAUAAAAGCCGACGUUUCAGAUUCCUUCAACGGUGAAUCGGAGGAAGACAUCUUGCGAAUCGCUGACUUAGAGCUUGAAGAUCAAGGAAUCGGCGAUUCAAAAUCUGGGGGUCUGAGCGAUCGAGAAGGGCAAAAAAGUGUUGUGAGGGUUUGGGG